rnacentral:rRNA from 1 species
GAAAGGGAAUGGGGUCAAUAUUCCCCAACCCGGACACGGAGAUAGNACCCUCGGGGUCAAGUACGGUAACGCAACCGAACUCGGAGACGUCGACGGAGGACCCGGGGAAGAGUUGUCUUUUCUUUGUAAGGGUUCGUGUCCCUGGAAUCGGCUCGUCCGGAGAUAGGGACGCUGUUCCCGUAAAAGCACCGCGGCUCUUGCGGUGUCCGGUGCGCCUCUGUCGGCCCUUGCAAAUCCGAGGGAGAGAGUGUGAUUUUCGUGCCGGUCCGUACCCAUAUCCGCAGCAGGUCUCCAAGGU